rnacentral:rRNA from 1 species
UCCUACGGGAGGCAGCAGUGGGGAAUCUUGCGCAAUGGGCGAAAGCCUGACGCAGCGACGCCGCGUGGGGGAAGAAGGCCUUCGGGUUGUAAACCUCUUUCAGGUGGGACGAAGCCACUCGGGUGAACAGCCCAGAGGGUGACGGUACCACCAGAAGAAGCCCCGGCUAACUACGUGCCAGCAGCCGCGGUAAUACGUAGGGGGCAAGCGUUGUCCGGAUUUAUUGGGCGUAAAGAGCGUGUAGGCGGCCAUGUAGGUCGGUUGUGAAAACUGGAGGCUCAACCUUCAGACGUCGACCGAAACCAUCUGGCUAGAGUCCGGAAGAGGAGAAUGGAAUUCCUGGUGUAGCGGUGAAAUGCGCAGAUAUCAGGAAGAACACCCGUGGCGAAAGCGGUUCUCUGGGACGGUACUGACGCUGAGACGCGAAAGCGUGGGGAGCGAACAGGAUUAGAUACCCUGGUAGUCUAC